GGCUGAGGAAGGAAGAGGCUGAGAAAUGGGCUAGAAACUUUAGUAUUUGCCAGUUAUUCCCGCUCCCGGAGUGGGCAAUGGUGGCAUCACCGUGGCAGAUCUGGCAGGGGAUGGAGCAGAGAGAGGAGGACAGGGACCGAGGCGAGCCCGGACCCUCAGCCAGCCUCGGCAAUUGGCGUUUUAAUGCAAAACCACCAAUGGUGAAUUGUUUUAAAUGCGUUUCCCUACCUUCCCUGCCCUUCAGCCUCCCGCAAAAAGUUGUCAAUAAUUUUAAACCUGCAGACCUCGAGAACACUUUGCUUCCCAGAGGACCGGAUAGCUUUUUAAAGUAUUUUUUUUCUUUCUUUUUUUUUUUUUUUUUUCAUUUUGGUAAACGACUUUUAAGUUCCAGUCAGUACUUUCACUUCUUGCUUUAGGAUCCCAGAAUCUAAGGUGUUACUUCACCCAGCUUCACAAAAUAAAAUAAAGAAAUGAAAGUAACUAUGCAGACAAAACAGCAAACUUUCUGGUUGGGGAAACACAUCCUCCGCCGGGGAGCCCUGCCCGGGGCUGGGGCUCCAGCAGUGCCCGGCCGGGCUGGCUCUGCAGGCUCAGGGCGUGCAAAGCAUUAACAGGAGGACCAAGUCCCUUCCUAACGCUUAUAACUUUUGCUGUUGCUUUGCAAAAGGCACCUCCCGUACCUGGCUGACAGGUAAGGGGAGCAGGGGUGGUGGUGGCACAGCCCCGGGCACCCCGAAACUGCUCGUCCCUUCCCGGAGCGGUACCGAAGUGACUUCAGGUUUCGGUUAAAAAUAAAAAAUAAAUAAAUAAAAAAAAAAAAGGUUUUCCACCCCAAGUAUAAGCAAGCCAGAAAGCUAACACGCUUAAAAAUAAAAUAUUAUCGGAAUUAAAUAAGCCCGUUAGAGCGUGAGGUGGUGUGAGAAAAAAAAGAAGGGGAGGGAAAAAAAAAAAAAAAAGAGGAGAAAAUGGAAUUAAAUUCCGAACCUACCUGCGAAGUCUUGUUUGUAGUUUUGGCCAGAAAUGGUGAGAAGAAAAAGCAUGAAGAAGCCGCGAAGUGGAGGAGAAAAGGUGAAGGGAGAUGCAGCUCCUGGAGAAAUUGUAAAAAAGCCUUGCAAAGAGUUGUCGGAAGGACCGUUAUUCCUGCUGGGCAGGAGCGAGAGGAGAGACCCUGAAACACACGCCACCUAUCUUUGUGGGAAGGGAUAAUUGAAGAGCACCAAACAUAUGGAUCAGGGGUGAGAUGGGCUCUCUUCCUGGCUCUGCUCCCCCUUGGAAGUAGCUGGAUGGGCAGAGGGACGGCGCGGACGAGGAACGCGUGGGACUGAACUUCGGGGAGGAGAACAACACCCGAGGUCCCAAACCCACUCCUCGCACCGAGGGAGAGGAGCGAGUGGCUCAGGCGGCUGGGAGAGGUGGCGGCAGGUCGGCGGGCGAGCAUCCCCAGUCCGCUGUCCCGCACCAUGGGAUGUAGAUGGUUUUCCUCCUCUUCUGGGAUCGAUGCUGAAGUUCAGACGCAUUUCUUGGCUCAGUUGGCAGUGAUUAAAAGUUGCUGCUCACUUUUGUUUAUAGUUGGUUGUUUACUUUGUUGAAUUUUUAAAAACUUGUUAGAAUGCAAUUGAACACAGAUUCAACAGUAUUUAGGCUU